GACGUAGGGCGCAAGCGUUGUCCGGAUUUAUUGGGCGUAAAGAGCUCGUAGGCGGCUUGUUGCGUCGUCCGUGAAAACCCGCAGCUCAACUGCGGGCUUGCGGACGAUACGGGCAGGCUGGAGUUCGGUAGGGGAGACUGGAAUUCCUGGUGUAGCGGUGAAAUGCGCAGAUAUCAGGAGGAACACCGGUGGCGAAGGCGGGUCUCUGGGCCGACAUUGACGCUGAGGAGCGAAAGCGUGGGGAGCGAACAGG
rnacentral:rRNA from 1 species